rnacentral:rRNA from 1 species
UACGAAGGGGGCUAGCGUUGUUCGGAAUUACUGGGCGUAAAGCGCACGUAGGCGGAUAUUUAAGUCGGGGGUGAAAUCCAGGGGCUCAACCCCGGAACUGCCUUCGAUACUGGGUAUCUUGAGUUCGGAAGAGGUGAGUGGAAUUGCGAGUGUAGAGGUGAAAUUCGUAGAUAUUCGCAGGAACACCAGUGGCGAAGGCGGCUCACUGGUCCGAUACUGACGCUGAGGUGCGAAAGCGUGGGGAGCAAACAGG